rnacentral:misc_RNA from 1 species
GAUGAAGAACGCAGCGAAAUGCGAUAAGUAGUGUGAAUUGCAGAAUUCAGUGAAUCAUCGAAUCUUUGAACGCACAUUGCGCCCCAUGGUAUUCCAUGGGGCAUGCCUGUUCGAGCGUCAUUUGUACCUUCAAGCUCUGCUUGGUGUUGGGUGUUUGUCUCGCCUCUGCGUGUAGACUCGCCUCAAAACAAUUGGCAGCCGGCGUAUUGAUUUCGGAGCGCAGUACAUCUCGCGCUUUGCACUCAUAACGACGACGUCCAAAAGUACAUUUUUACACUCUUGACCUCGGAUCAGGUAGGGAUACCCGCUGAACUUAAGCAUAUCAUAAGCGGAGGA